rnacentral:rRNA from 1 species
AACGAACGCUGGCGGCAGGCCUAACACAUGCAAGUCGAGCGAACCGCAAGGUUAGCGGCGGACGGGUUAGUAACGCGUGGGAACGUGCCCAAAGGUACGGAAUAGCCUCGGGAAACUGAGCGUAAUACCGUAUGUGCCCGAAAGGGGAAAGAUUUAUCGCCUUUGGAUCGGCCCGCGUUGGAUUAGGUAGUUGGUGGGGUAACGGCCUACCAAGCCGACGAUCAAUAGCUGGUUUGAGAGGAUGAUCAGCAACACUGGGACUGAGACACGGCCCAGACUCCUACGGGAGGCAGCAGUGGGGAAUCUUAGACAAUGGGGGAAACCCUGAUCUAGCCAUGCCGCGUGAGCGAUGAAGGCCUUAGAGUUGUAAAGCUCUUUCACCGGGGAAGAUAAUGACGGUACCCGGAGAAGAAGCCCCGGCUAACUCCGUGCCAGCCGCCGCUGUAAAAC